rnacentral:lncRNA from 1 species
CAGGUCUCACACUGUGUCCCAGACUGGUCUGAAACUAUCUAUGUGUAGCCCAGGCAGAAGUGGCAUACGCAGCAAUUCUCCUGUCUCAGUGUCCUGGCUGCUGAGCUUGCAGGCUGACAGUGAGUAGUCUGAGAGAAACGGAUACACUUAGCGGUCUGCCUGCUGACCACAUGGCUGAGCUCUGCAUAACAGCCUCGAGGGGCUUUGCAGUUGACAAAUGACUCUCAUGCAAUGUCAUAACUCUCCGGAGGAGGUAUUCGUCCCCCUAAUUUACAGCUAAGGAAACUGAGGUGGCUUGCUCACCACCAUAGGUAGGGACCAGUUAUCCACAGUUCACAGCUUCACACAGAGGAGAACUCGGCCCGGAAGCUCGUGGGCUGAGAGAAGGAAAAAAAAAAACAGCAAGAUGGUUGAGGGCUGGGAUUAUGGUAUCAAAACCUAGGCUGAGGACUUGGGAAACCAGUAAGUGGGUCCUGGCUCUACUGUCUCUUGUCCUCUGACCAAAGAGCAUGUGCAGGUUUAGGGUACUCAGAGGAUGGCAUAGAAGCUGAGAGGUAGCCCAGUCCAUGUGUCCUUCAGGUGAAGUGUGUGUGUGUGUGUGUGUGUGUACACAAGCAUGUGUGCUGUGUUUGCAUGCUUUAUGUGUGUGCACAUGUCUGCAUACUCAUGUGUGGGCGUGCACAUGGAGAUGAGAGGACAACCUUGGAUGCCAUUCUUCAAGUGCUAAUCACCCUGUUUUGCUUUGGGUUUUGGUUUUGGUUUUAGUUUUGAUGCAGGAUCUCCCAGUGACCAAUCAGGCUAGACUGACCGGCAAGCAAGCUCUCUGGUGCCUGGAUUAUGUGCCUGGAUUAUGAACGCUCAUUACCACACCUCGCUUUGGUUUCAUGAAGGUUCUGGGGUCACACUCACCCCCACUGCACAGCCACCAUCAGCUGUGUCCUCU